rnacentral:rRNA from 1 species
AUUGAACGCUGGCGGCAUGCCUUACACAUGCAAGUCGAACGGUAACAGGUUAAGCUGACGAGUGGCGAACGGGUGAGUAAUAUAUCGGAACGUGCCCAGUCGUGGGGGAUAACUGCUCGAAAGAGCAGCUAAUACCGCAUACGACCUGAGGGUGAAAGCGGGGGAUCGCAAGACCUCGCGCGAUUGGAGCGGCCGAUAUCAGAUUAGGUAGUUGGUGGGGUAAAAGCCUACCAAGCCAACGAUCUGUAGCUGGUCUGAGAGGACGACCAGCCACACUGGGACUGAGACACGGCCCAGACUCCUACGGGAGGCAGCAGUGGGGAAUUUUGGACAAUGGACGCAAGUCUGAUCCAGCCAUGCCGCGUGCGGGAAGAAGGCCUUCGGGUUGUAAACCGCUUUUGUCAGGGAAGAAAAGGUUCUGGUUAAUACCUGGGACUCAUGACGGUACCUGAAGAAUAAGCACCGGCUAACUACGUGCCAGCCGCCGCCGUAAGAC